ACCAAAGCCACAUAAUGUCAGUAGUUUGUUCAUCCGUCCAUGCCAAAUGGAUCGUGGGGAAGGUGAUUGGAACAGCAAUGCAAAAAACAGCUAAAGUGAGAGUGACCAGGCUUGUUUUGGACCCCUAUUUAUUAAAGUAUUUUAAUAAGCGUAAAACCUACUUUGCUCACGAUGCUCUUCAGCAGUGCACAGUUGGGGAUAUUGUGCUUCUCAAAGCUCUACCUGUUCCACGAACAAAGCACGUGAAACAUGAACUGGCUGAGAUCACUUUCAAAGUUGGACAGGUUAUAGACCCAGUGACUGGAAAACCCUGUGCAGGAACUACCUACCUGGAAAGCCCAGUCAGCUUGGAAACCACCUGCCUAAUCAAAAAUCUGGAAGAACUCAAUAGCUCUUCAGCACAGUGAAGGAUGAUUGGAAGAAGGAGCCAAAGGGAAAGAUUUAUAAGUUUGCUUUAUGGAAAAACGAAAUUUUUCUAAGUUUCAUUACAAAGUGUCCAAUUUCUCUUCUGGUAUUUAUGGAAUAGCUAAAAGUAAAUGAAGGAAAGGCC